AUUGAACGCUGGCGGCAUGCCUUACACAUGCAAGUCGAACGGUAACAGGUCUUCGGAUGCUGACGAGUGACGAACGGGUGAGUAAUACAUCGGAACGAGCCCGAUCGUGGGGGAUAACGGAGCGAAAGCUUUGCUAAUACCGCAUACGAUCUACGGAUGAGAGCGGGGGAUCUUCGGACCUCGCGCGGACGGAGCGGCCGAUGGCAGAUUAGGUAGUUGGUGGGAUAAAAGCUUACCAAGCCGACGAUCUGUAGCUGGUCUGAGAGGAUGAUCAGCCACACUGGGACUGAGACACGGCCCAGACUCCUACGGGAGGCAGCAGUGGGGAAUUUUGGACAAUGGGGGCAACCCUGAUCCAGCCAUGCCGCGUGCAGGAUGAAGGCCUUCGGGUUGUAAACUGCUUUUGUACGGAACGAAAAGACUCUGGUUAAUACCUGGGGUCCAUGACGGUACCGUAAGAAUAAGCACCAGCUAACUACGUGCCAGCAGCCGCAGUAAUAC
rnacentral:rRNA from 1 species